GAUGAACGCUGGCGGCGUGCCUAAUACAUGCAAGUCGAGCGAACGGACGAGAAGCUUGCUUCUCUGAUGUUAGCGGCGGACGGGUGAGUAACACGUGGAUAACCUACCUAUAAGACUGGGAUAACUUCGGGAAACCGGAGCUAAUACCGGAUAAUAUUUUGAACCGCAUGGUUCAAAAGUGAAAGACGGUCUUGCUGUCACUUAUAGAUGGAUCCGCGCUGCAUUAGCUAGUUGGUAAGGUAACGGCUUACCAAGGCAACGAUGCAUAGCCGACCUGAGAGGGGGAUCGGCCACACUGGAACUGAGCCGCGGUCCAGACUCCUACGGGAGGCAGCAGUAGGGAAUCUUCCGCAAUGGGCGAAAGCCUGACGGAGCAACGCCGCGUGAGUGAUGAAGGUCUUCGGAUCGUAAAACUCUGUUAUUAGGGAAGAACAUAUGUGUAAGUAACUGUGCACAUCUUGACGGUACCUAAUCAGAAAGCCACGGCUAACUACGUG
rnacentral:rRNA from 1 species